rnacentral:rRNA from 1 species
UACGAAGGGUGCAAGCGUUAAUCGGAAUUACUGGGCGUAAAGGGCGCGCAGGCGGCGGCGUGGGUCCGGCGUGAAAGCCCCCGGCUCAACCGGGGAACGUCGUCGGGGACCGCGCCGCUUGAGGGCGGCAGGGGCCGGUGGAAUGCCUGGUGUAGUGGUGAAAUGCGUAGAGAUCAGGCGGAACACCCGUGGCGAAGGCGGCCGGCUGGGCCGUCCCUGACGCUGAGGCGCGAAGGCGUGGGGAGCGAACGGG